rnacentral:rRNA from 1 species
UACAGAGACUGCAAGCGUUAUUCGGAUUCACUGGGCGUAAAGGGUGCGCAGGCGGCCAAGUGUGUGAGGCGUGAAAGCCCGGGGCUUAACCCCGGAAUUGCACCUCAAACUACAUGGCUAGAGCAUUGGAGAGGGUAGCGGAAUUCACGGUGUAGCAGUGAAAUGCGUAGAUAUCGUGAGGAACACCAGAGGCGAAGGCGGCUACCUGGACAAUUGCUGACGCUCAGGCACGAAAGCGUGGGGGAGCAAAAAGGG